rnacentral:rRNA from 1 species
GACGAACGCUGGCGGCGUGCCUAAUACAUGCAAGUCGAACGCAGUGGGGACGGGUGAGUAACACGUGGGUAACCUCCCAUCAGAGGGGAUAACACUUGGAAACAGGUGCUAAACCGAUACUGAUGGAUGGACCCGCGGUGCAUUAGCUAGUUGGUGAGGUAACGCCUCACCAUGGCCACGAUGCAUAACCGACCGGUGAGUGGGUGCGGCGACACUGGGACGGUGAGAUGGCCGAGACUGCUACGGGAGGCAGGAGUAGGGAAUGUGCGGCAAUGGACGAAAGUCGGAACGAGCAACGGCGCGUGAGUGAAGAAGGGUUGCGGAUCGUAAAACUAUGUUGUUAGAGGAGCGGUAGCUAACCAGAAAGCCACGGCUAACUACGUGCCAGCAGCCGCGGUAAUAC